AGAGUUUGAUCAUGGCUCAGGACGAACGCUGGCGGCGUGCUUAACACAUGCAAGUGGAGCGACGAACCAGGGCUUGCCCUGGGGCAGAGCCGCGAACGGGUGAGUAACACGUGGGUAACCUGCCCAGAUGACCGGGACAACCCGAGGAAACUCGGGCUAAUACCGGAUGUGUUCAUCUCACAUCAGUGAGAUGAGGAAAGGAAGCUUCGGCCUCCGCAUCUGGAUGGGCCCGCGGCCCAUUAGCUUGUUGGUGGGGUAAUGGCCUACCAAGGCUGCGAUGGGUAGCUGUUCUGAGAGGAAGAUCAGCCACACUGGGACUGAGACACGGCCCAGACUCCUACGGGAGGCAGCAGUGGGGAAUCUUGCGCAAUGCGCGAAAGCGUGACGCAGCAACGCCGCGUGCGGGAAGACGGCCUUCGGGUUGUAAACCGCUUUCAGUUGGGACGAAGCUUCGCCGGUGAAUAGCCGGCUGGAGUGACGGUACCUUCAGAAGAAGCCCCGGCUAACUACGUGCCAGCAGCCGCGGUA
rnacentral:rRNA from 1 species